rnacentral:misc_RNA from 1 species
GAUGAAGAACGUAGCGAAAUGCGAUAAGUAAUGUGAAUUGCAGAAUUCAGUGAAUCAUCGAAUCUUUGAACGCACAUUGCGCCCGCUAGUAUUCUGGCGGGCAUGCCUGUCCGAGCGUCAUUUCAACCCUCAAGCCCCCGGGCUUGGUGUUGGGGAUCGGCGAGCCUCCGCGCCCGCCGUCCCCUAAAUCUAGUGGCGGUCUCGCUGUAGCUUCCUCUGCGUAGUAGCUAACACCUCGCAACUGGAGAGCGGCGCGGCCACGCCGUAAAACACCCAACUUCUGAAUGUUGACCUCGAAUCAGGUAGGAAUACCCGCUGAACUUAAGCAUAUCAAUAAGCGGAGGA